GCAAGGUACUGAACACUACAGGUCUGGGAACAUCCGGUCUCAGUAUUCGUUGUUUUGCAAGAACCGCUGGAUUUUUAUCACAAAAUUACAGUCAAGACUUGUUACAGUAAAAUUGGGGUCUCUGUCUUGAAACGGGGAACUUCCGGUCUCAGUAUUCGUUGUUUUGCAAGAAUCGAACCGUUGGAUUGUUAUCACAAAAUUACAGUCAAGACUUGUAACAGUACUAUUGGGACUUCUGUCAUGAAACGGGAGGGGAGGAAGAGAGGGAUUAUGAAGCUGGACCACUCUUACGAAGAGGAAACGUUGGACCCGUCAGGAAUUUUCCUAAAAAUGUUCAACAUCUGUCUUAGAAUUUGAGUUCAUUUAUUGUCUUUUAUUAGAGCGAAGCGAUUUACAUUUUAAAAGUAAUACACCGAGUAACUAGCCAAAUUAUGAAAUAUUAGAUGCAUGGAUUUAGCAAGAGGACGGGAACUUCAGUUGAUAAUGGCGCGCGCAGCAAAACUACCAGUAAGAAACUGGGUCGAGAAUGUCGCCCAGUUGUGUUUCAGAAGUAGUGACUUAGCAGUCAUUGCAACGAGACGUAAACGCAAUGUUUUUUCUUGAAUAGCCUAAACUCGGCUUUUUAAAGAUCGCCAACACAAAUUUUCGGUUUCACGAACAGCUUUACUAUCCUCUGAACUUUGAAUGGCAACGCUAACACCGGAAGUCGAAUGAUGUCGUGUGUAGACUAUUCCGCGCGCUCUCCCGUUCUGAAGUGAUGUUUGUUGAAGUCCUAAAUGUAAUAAAGUCCUAAAUAUAAUAACAUUUGGUCCUAAAUGUAAUAAGCCUCCAAUGCGUUGGUUUAACUGAGCUUGUGCAUCCACAUUGCGAUGAUAAAGUGACAACUGUUGCACCAGAGAAUCCUCUGAGCAAAAUUCAUGGUGUAUUGUGGGCUCUCUCGUUAAUUUAAUCAGGGUCUUUUUCUUUUGCUUGAGAUGUAGGCCGAGAGGCAUUGGCUACAAACCGUCAUACUGAUGUGCUUUUGGUAUCAAAUUGACAGAUUCCAAACAAUAGAACGCUGACCAAUUCGGCCAUCUUGACCGAACAGGCUUGGUCAAGAGAUUUUAUAUUUUCGGCAAGUAAUUUUUCACGGUAAAAUAUGCGUUUUCUUUUUAGUAAUGACGUAUAACAGAAAAUAGUAUCUUUGUUUCACGCAUCACGACUGGCAUAUCAUUCACAGUUCACGGCUUUUAACUUUAUACAAUCACGAAUCACGGCAAUUAAAGACAGCCAAUCACGUUUCCCUGAAAUCCCCCACAUUUACAUUCAGACAUGGAGACGAGACGGACGAGACGGACGAGACAAAAUUAUUUGUCAUGUCUGACCAUUUACUAAUGCAGAUUUAAAGGACAAAAACCUGCGACUAGUUGUUGAAGGAUCAUCGCAUGAAAACUGAAAACUCUUAACUUUGGGAUCCUCAAGAAAUUUAUGGGAAGACAAAUCCGAAUUUUCGGAAGCAUUGUAGCAGAUGUAAACGAACGAUGUAGUUAAUUUAAUAUUACCACUAGUGUUGUUUGCCCAUUCAGACCAAGAACAAUUUAGGACGUGUGAAAGAACUGAAGCGGAAACUGUUUCCAAACAGAAUUUACAUAAACUUCAACAUUGCCUAUGUUCAGGGAUACAACCCGUUAAUCGACAGCAGAUAAAGGCGUAUUCUUUGCAUUUUAUUCUCAAUACAUAGGACAUUUAAUUUUAAUUUCUCCUUAGCGUCUUCCAAAAUAUACCACAAGCUGUGGUGGACAUUAUGUAGGAAGAAAUCGAAAGUGAUGACCCAGGAAUAUUGGCAGCUAAAGGCUUUUCAAAAGUCCCGCAGUAUGUGUACUUUCCUUAGUCUUGAAACUCAUUAAAUGGUCUUAAAUGCAACCCUUUGCCUCUACUUUAAGUUAGACUUUGAGACUGAUAUUUCUUAUGCUGUGAGAAAAGGUUGGAAAAUGUUCUUGUUUUCCGCGAUGAGUCAUCGUCUCGGUAUUUGGUGCAGGUAUUUGCGUUCUCUUUUCUGUUGUAACUGUUUAAAAAGGGACUAACAUGUAGCGAUCUUUCUUGUUGUUUCAAGAAAGAUGCAUCUAAAUGGUGGUUAGUCUUGUUAGGUAUCUACCUUGAAAUUCAAGUUUCUUGGCGGCGCACGAUGAGACUGAUUAGCGUAAUGAUUUAUACAUCGGAAAUGCGCCAGUACAUCACGGAAUUCAUCCUGAAACUUGUUCUCAGUGUUAGGAGGGCGACUGAGGUUGCGCUCCGACCGAGUCCUUCAAUUGUUCUUGAGAAAGAGCAAAUGUAUCGCGAGGUCUCUUGAGAAGGGAAAUUUCCCUUUUGAAUUAAGACAAUUCAUCCUAGCGGUAUUACACAAUUCGCGCCGGAUACUCCGAAAUAUGCCCUUGAGAACAAACACACAGAAAUACAAAGAAAAAAUUACUUUAAAACCUUUUUAUCUUAGCACGGGUUUAAAAAUGAGCCGUUUACAAAGCAGAAAUUUAUUUGAAAAGUAAAAACUAAACGUUUUCGACACUAGGUCAUCAUCGGGGUAAAUAAGCACCGUCCGCUAAAUCAAUGUUCCUGAUGUUUUGAACGGAUUUUUUCGAGGGUACCCGUGGGAAAGGUAUUCUUCUUCAGAUAAAUAGUAUCAGUUGAAACUAUAUAUUCGAUUGAUUGUGUAUGAUAAUUUCAGCGUGAGAAAAUUAGCCGAAAUUGAAAGAAACGACGGUAAAUGACUUCGAGUUAAGAUAGAUAUUAUCUUUAA
rnacentral:lncRNA from 1 species